AUGGAAAAGUUAAAUGUUUACAAAGCAAUAAUUGAAUCGAUUAAGCGCUGUGAGCCUAAAGCAACAGACAAAGAAACUAGGUCAUUUAUUGCCUCCUGCCUAAAACAUGCACCUUAUCGUUUGAAUGGAGGUAAACGGAAAUCUUGCAACCACGAAAUAGAAAACGAUGAAGUUCACAAAAGCGAUGAAGAAAUAAAUCAAGGUGACGACGAAUGCGAAGUAGAAUGUGACGUUGCAUCAAACAAAAGCGGAAGUAGUAGCGAAAAAUAAAAAUAAACUAUCUUACUUUCCCCCACUUAUUAAACUUUGUAACAAAUACUUUUUUGUAAUUUUUUUAAAUGUUAUCUUUCGAAAACGUUUA
rnacentral:lncRNA from 1 species